CCUGAUGUGGGGGAUAACUAUUGGAAACGAUAGCUAAUACCGCAUAAUCUCUUCGGAGCAAAGAGGGGGACCUUCGGGCCUCUCGCGUCAGGAUUAGCCCAGGUGGGAUUAGCUAGUUGGUGGGGUAAUGGCUCACCAAGGCGACGAUCCCUAGCUGGUCUGAGAGGAUGAUCAGCCACACUGGAACUGAGACACGGUCCAGACUCCUACGGGAGGCAGCAGUGGGGAAUAUUGCACAAUGGGGGGAACCCUGAUGCAGCCAUGCCGCGUGUAUGAAGAAGGCCUUCGGGUUGUAAAGUACUUUCAGUUGUGAGGAAGGCGUUGAAGUUAAUAGCUUCAGCGCUUGACGUUAGCAACAGAAGAAGCACCGGCUAACUCCGUGCCAGCAGCCGCGGUAAUACGGAGGGUGCGAGCGUUAAUCGGAAUUACUGGGCGUAAAGCGCAUGCAGGCGGUCUGUUAAGCAAGAUGUGAAAGCCCGGGGCUCAACCUCGGAACAGCAUUUUGAACUGGCAGACUAGAGUCUUGUAGAGGGGGGUAGAAUUUCAGGUGUAGCGGUGAAAUGCGUAGAGAUCUGAAGGAAUACCGGUGGCGAAGGCGG
rnacentral:rRNA from 1 species